GGUGUGCAGCAAGCAGAGCAGAUACUGCAGAGCAUCGAUAGGAGAUCGGAGGUAGAGCAGAGCAUUAGACAGAGUAGCUAUAGUGAAGCAUGAUGUAGCGGCUUCUACAGAAAACAUCUAGGGGUAUCGAGGACCCUGAUAUUGGCAGACCUGUGAGAAGGUCUUCUUGGGAGAUUUUGAGAGAGCUUUUGUGAGGAUAGCUUCUAGUUAAGAGAGUUGUGUACAGAGAGUUGAGAGUAGGUGUUCUCUUCUUAUAUUUAUUUCUUUCUUAUAGUAAAGCUUGCAUGCCCCAUGGAGGCAACACUUGGAUUGUUCCAUGUACUUGAUUGUGUGUUUUCUAUUUUAUUUCUUCUUUCUUCUUGCUGUAUGCAAUGCGUGGUACUGGAUCUUGCACAAUAAUUGGUAUCAAAGCACAGAUGGUACCAGCAUGAGGUUGUGACAGUGGUGAGCAAGAUUGAAGAUGGAGAAGAUAGAUGCAAUUAAGUUGGAGAUCGAUCGUAGAGGGUUGACCGAUGCUCUCUUAUGCAAGGAGGAGCC
rnacentral:lncRNA from 1 species